rnacentral:rRNA from 1 species
GACGAACGCUGGCGGCGUGCUUAACACAUGCAAGUCGAACGAUGAACCCGGAGCUUGCUCCGGUGGAUUAGUGGCGAACGGGUGAGUAACACGUGAGUAACCUGCCCUUGACUCUGGGAUAACUGCGGGAAACUGUAGCUAAUACCGGAUACGACCCUCGGCGGCAUCGCCAGGGGGUGGAAAGAAUUUCGGUCAAGGAUGGACUCGCGGCCUAUCAGCUAGUUGGUGAGGUAACGGCUCACCAAGGCGACGACGGGUAGCCGGCCUGAGAGGGGAACCGGCGACACGGGGACUGAGACACGGCCCAGACUCCAACGGGAGGCAGCGGUGGGGAGUAUUGCACAAGGGGGGCAAGCCUGAUGCAGCAACGCCGCGUGAGGGAUGACGGCCUUCGGGUUGUAAACCUCUUUCAGUAGGGACGAAGCGAAAGUGACGGUACCUAAAGAAGAAGCACCGGCUAACUACGUGCCAGCCGCCGCCGUAA